rnacentral:rRNA from 1 species
AUUGAACGCUGGCGGCAGGCCUAACACAUGCAAGUCGAGCGGUAGCACAGAGAGCUUGCUCUCGGGUGACGAGCGGCGGACGGGUGAGUAAUGUCUGGGAAACUGCCUGAUGGAGGGGGAUAACUACUGGAAACGGUAGCUAAUACCGCAUAACGUCACAAGACCAAAGUGGGGGACCUUCGGGCCUCAUGCAAUCAGAUGUGCCCAGAUGGGUUUAGCCAGUAGGUGGGGUAACGGCUCACCUAGGCGACGAUCCCUAGCUGGUCUGAGAGGAUGACCAGCCACACUGGAACUGAGACACGGUCCAGACUCCUACGGGAGGCAGCAGUGGGGAAUAUUGCACAAUGGGCGCAAGCCUGAUGCAGCCAUGCCGCGUGUGUGAAGAAGGCCUUCGGGUUGUAAAGCACUUUCAGCGGGGAGGAAGGCGGUGAGGUUAAUAACCUCACCGAUUGACGUUACCCGCAGAAGAAGCACCGGCUAACUCCGUGCCAGCAGCCGCCGUAA